UAGUCCACGCCGUAAACGAUGGAUGCUAGAUGUCGGGAUGUAUGUCUCGGUGUCGUAGUUAACGCGUUAAGCAUCCCGCCUGGGGAGUACGGUCGCAAGGCUGAAACUCAAAGAAAUUGACGGGGGCCCGCACAAGCGGUGGAGUAUGUGGUUUAAUUCGAUGCAACGCGAAGAACCUUACCUAGGUUUGACAUCUGGGGAACCCUCCCGAAAAGGAGGGGUGCCCUUCGGGGAGCCCCAAGAC
rnacentral:rRNA from 1 species